UACAGAGGUCCCAAGCGUUGUUCGGAUUCACUGGGCGUAAAGGGUGCGUAGGCGGUCGGGUAAGUCUGAUGUGAAAUCUCACAGCUUAACUGUGAAACUGCAUUGGAUACUAUUCGGCUUGAGAGUUGGAGGGGGGACUGGAAUUCUCGGUGUAGCAGUGAAAUGCGUAGAUAUCGAGAGGAACACCAGUGGCGAAGGCGAGUCCCCUGGACAACUUUUGACGCUGAGGCACGAAAAGCUAGGGGGAGCAAACAGG
rnacentral:rRNA from 1 species